GGGGGUAUAGCUCACUGGUAGAGCAUUCGACUGCUGAUUGAGUGGUCCCCGAUUCAAUCUUGGAUGACUUCU